rnacentral:rRNA from 1 species
CCUACGGGUGGCUGCAGUGGGGAAUAUUGGACAAUGGGCGAAAGCCUGAUCCAGCAAUGCCGCGUGUGUGAAGAAGGCCUUCGGGUUGUAAAGCACUUUAGGUCGGGAAGAAAGCGCUUUGGCUAACAUCCAAAGCUUUGACGGUACCGGCGAAAUAAGCACCGGCUAACUCUGUGCCAGCAGCCGCGGUAAUACAGAGGGUGCUAGCGUUAAUCGGAUUUACUGGGCGUAAAGCGUGUGUAGGCGGUUUGUUAAGUCGGAUGUGAAAGCCCCGG